rnacentral:rRNA from 1 species
GACGAACGCUGACGGCGUGCUUAACACAUGUAAGUCGAAGGGAGUGGCGAACGGGUGAGUAACACGUGAGUAACCUGCCCUUUUCUUUGGGAUAAGCCUGGGAACCUGGGCCAAAUACUGGAUGGAUUGGGAUGGGCUCGCGGCUUGUCAGCGUGUUGGUGGGGUGAUGGCUUACCAAGGCUUUGACGGGUGGCCGGCCUGAGAGGGUGGUCGGUCACACUGGGACUGAGAUACGGCCCAGAAGCGUACGGGAGGGAGCAGUGGGGGCUAUGGCGCAGUGGACGAAAGUCUGAUGCAGCGACGUCGUGUGGGGGAUGAAGGCCUUCGGGUUGUAAAGUCCUUUCGCCCGCGGAAUGGUAGUGGGUAAAGAAGCGCCGGCUAACUACGUGCCAGCAGCCGCGGUAAUAC